AUAAUAAUAACGCCAAGCGCAGCUGCCGAAGCCUCCGGGUUCAAAGUGUUUCUGCCCCUACCAGCAAAGACAGAUGCAGGCUUUUUCUGGCCACAAAAAAAGAAAAAACAACCAACACUGGAAAGACAAUAAUUUCUUAGAAUACAUCUCAACUCUUAGAAAAUCUUUUGUGACUGGAGCCCUAACAUGAUGCACAUGGCAGUCUUUUAGAUCAAAACCAAUCAGUGCACACCCUCAAAAUGCAGUAAUGCCACUCACAAAUGGAAACACAAAUGCCCUCUCCAGAUCUGUUCCACAGCAUUUUACCAAGUAAAUGCAGCAACAGAACCAAAUUCCAAAUUAUAGAGGUUCAAUAGACAUGUUUGUGUCUGUUAACAGCAGAGAGAUUCCAGUGUUAUGUAUUUAACAUGAUGUGAAGACUGGGCCUGCUUCCUACAAACAUGGUAUAAAUACAUUUAAGUUUAGGAAUCAGAACCAGCACAGCAAAACUACAGCUCAGACCACUGUAUAAAAGCAGGCAGUAAAAGCUUCAUUACCAGCAGCAUUAUGCUGUCUGUAUUGGUAAAUGGGAACUCUGUCAUCAAGAUGUAGAUUCCUUGUGAGCAAUGGAUUAAAGAGCUCUGAAAUGCAGAGUAAAAUUUAAGUGCUCUGUAGAAACAUCAGGGACAAAAUAAAAUCUGUUUUUUACAAAUUUUAAAAUGAGAGGUACUAACCCACAGUGCUGUAUUAGAACAUCUUCUUUAAGUAACAGUUUGAUAAACAAGAGAUUUUGGGACCAAAUCAGACCUUCAAUAUGAUGUCUUUAUGUAUAGUUAUCUGUAUGACUGUAUGAACUCAAAAUACAGGUCCUACAAACUGA